GGGAGGCCGCGAUGCACUCAGGAAAGUCUUGGUGGCCACUUUGAGGACACUGGCCUAGCACCAGUCUGGAGGUGGCAAUGGCGGCGUUGAGCCCAGAUGUCAGGUUCCGAGAAUAAACGUGUGCCAGUGAACACUCCCCCGUACCCUCGACCCAGCUCGGUACAGCCUCGUCUCCGGAAAGGCACAAAUCGGGCCUUGUGCUUAAAUGGAGUAUCUGCUUCUAUACAGUGACCCUGACGCACAUCAAAGAUCCUGCUUUGACUCCUUAGACUUAAGAUCAGAACAUGUCUGCUCAAAAAUUUCAGACCUACUCCCAAGAACUCACAUCCCCUCUUCUAUGUCUUCAAAACAGAAAAAAAGGAAAGACUUAUCUGGGAAGGAAACUUGAACUGAACAUUUAACAUCUAUUAAUUUUGGCGUUGGUGACUCUAUUCUUGUGUAAAUAAAUCUAUUAAUCACAAUAAUAAAGGAGGUGUUCACGUGGA
rnacentral:lncRNA from 1 species